rnacentral:lncRNA from 1 species
GGGGUUUUAUUCUAUUACAACCAUAAUCACAGGGAAAUUUCCCAUCAUAGGCCCCGGGGUUGGUAAUAAAACAGUUUCUCAUGAGAGGCGAGCACAGAUGAAAUACAAAUACCAGCACAGAAACCAAGAAUUUUAUGCAUGGAGGAGAGCAAGGAGCUGGCAAGAGCUACCCUUGUUGGAAGUGAGGAACCAGAUGCAUAAGGAAAGGGAAUGGUGCUUAUUUCCUAAGUGACGCUCAGCUCCAAGAAGGCUCGACAUGUUCCCUCCUGUUGCCCCAAGCCAUGAUCGAUUUGACCCAAAUAAUUUGACAGAUGCUGUUCCAACCUAUUCUUAAAAACCUCAGCAGUGGAGAUACCACACCGUUAGACCCAUGCUUUGCUUUCACCAGAGAAAGGCAGUAAAGUUUCCUAUUGGAAAUUAAACCAACAACUUCUUGCUCUAUUGCCUGUGGCCAGGAAGAAAUCCUUAGCUUGUUCCCUUAAUGUCUGCAAGAGACUUUUUCAGACUAGAGGACUUCCUUUUUUCUUACAGACUGCAGGAGCCUGUCCUCCAUAAAACACAGCUUAAAACUAAGUCUAAAGAACAAAGUCCAUAAAAUACAGCUUAGAAAAGGAGGACUAUAGUUAGAGGACUCAGGGUCCUCCAUAUCCAUUGAAAAAAUUCUGGGCUCAAAAAACUUUAAAAGCAGGAUGUAAACUAAUCCAUUUUUCCUUUUUUUUUUUUUUUUUUUUUGGUGAUCAAAGUUCUCUAGACAUUGCUCAUUCUUGCCAACAUCCUCUCCACCUUAACUGAGCCAAACGUUCUUAGGAUCACUCAGCCAAAACAUCUUGAGCACCCCAAACAGAAGGGGCCCUAUCCACCUAACACAGCACCAGGAGUCAGCCAAGAAGCUGCUUUGGGAGACAACUCAGGAAAUCAGCCAGCAGUGCCAGGGAAGGAGUUUGACAGUGCCACCAGAGCAAAGGAUGUACCCCUCCACAACAGGGCUUCAUAACCCUCCUCCAAUCUUUACCCCAGAAAUACAUGAAUUUUCAGAUCUCAGCUAACUGGCACACCUAGGAGCAAAUUCAAACCUGGACAGAAGCUCCAGGGCUGAGCUUAAAUGGAGCCCUGGGGCCAUGGGCAGGGGUACAGGAGGCACCAGCUGAGGAGACCCAGUGCUCUGACACACACUACCUGUGAAAAUAUUUAUUAUCUGUUAAAUUCAUCUUUUACAGGUAUUUCUAUCCUUCUCAGUAUCUGGGGUUUAUUCACUUAAAUAUCUCAUCUGUGUUACUUAUUAUAGCACCCUAUAAAAUCUUUCUUUUCCUGAAAGCACUUGCUGCACCCACAAACAUACUUUUAAUUUUAUUUGGCCUGUCUAUUAAUCUUUACAUCAAUGUUACUGCUUAAAUCAUUAAAAAAAAAAA